UACGUAGGGGGCAAGCGUUGUCCGGAUUUAUUGGGCGUAAAGAGCGUGUAGGCGGCCAGGUAGGUCAGCUGUGAAAACUCGAGGCUCAACCUCGAGACGCCGGUUGAAACCAUCUGGCUAGAGUCCGGAAGAGGAGAGUGGAAUUCCUGGUGUAGCGGUGAAAUGCGCAGAUAUCGGGAGGAACACCUAUGGCGAAGGCAGCUCGCUGGGACGUUACUGACGCUGAGACGCGAAAGCGUGGGGAGCAAACAGG
rnacentral:rRNA from 1 species